AUGAACGCUAGCUACAGGCUUAACACAUGCAAGUCGAGGGGCAGCAUGGUCUUAGCUUGCUAAGGCCGAUGGCGACCGGCGCACGGGUGAGUAACGCGUAUCCAACCUGCCUUACACUCUUGGACAGCCUUCUGAAAGGGAGAUUAAUACAAGAUGUUAUCAUGAGUAAGCAUUUUCGCAUGAUUAAAGGUUUACCGGUGUAAGAUGGGGAUGCGUUCCAUUAGAUAGUAGGCGGGGUAACGGCCCACCUAGUCUUCGAUGGAUAGGGGUUCUGAGAGGAAGGUCCCCCACAUUGGAACUGAGACACGGUCCAAACUCCUACGGGAGGCAGCAGUGAGGAAUAUUGGUCAAUGGACGAGAGUCUGAACCAGCCAAGUAGCGUGAAGGAUGAAGGUUCUAUGGAUUGUAAACUUCUUUUAUACGGGAAUAAACGAAUCCACGCGUGGAUUUUUGCAUGUACCGUAUGAAUAAGGAUCGGCUAACUCCGUGCCAGCAGCCGCGGUAAUACGGAGGAUCCGAGCGUUAUCCGGAUUUAUUGGGUUUAAAGGGAGCGUAGAUGGGUUGUUAAGUCAGUUGUGAAAGUUUGCGGCUCAACCGUAAAAUUGCAAUUGAUACUGGCAGUCUUGAGUACAGUUGAGGUAGGCGGAAUUCGUGGUGUAGCGGUGAAAUGCUUAGAUAUCACGAAGAACUCCGAUUGCGAAGGCAGCUUACUAACCUGUAACUGACAUUGAUGCUCGAAAGUGUGGGUAUCAAACAGGAUUAGAUACCCUGGUAGUCCACACGGUAAACGAUGAAUACUCGCUGUAGGCGAUAUACAGUCUGCGGCCAAGCGAAAGCAUUAAGUAUUCCACCUGGGGAGUACGCCGGCAACGGUGAAACUCAAAGGAAUUGACGGGGGCCCGCACAAGCGGAGGAACAUGUGGUUUAAUUCGAUGAUACGCGAGGAACCUUACCCGGGCUUAAAUUGCAACCGAAUAUGGCGGAAACGCUAUAGCUAGCAAUAGCGGUUGUGAAGGUGCUGCAUGGUUGUCGUCAGCUCGUGCCGUGAGGUGUUGGCUUAAGUGCCAUAACGAGCGCAACCCUUGCCGAUAGUUACUAACAGGUUAUGCUGAGGACUCUGUCGGGACUGCCAUCGUAAGAUGUGAGGAAGGUGGGGAUGACGUCAAAUCAGCACGGCCCUUACGUCCGGGGCUACACACGUGUUACAAUGGGGGGUACAGAGGGCUGCUACCACGCAAGUGGAUGCCAAUCCCAAAAACCUCUCUCAGUUCGGAUUGAAGUCUGCAACCCGACUUCAUGAAGCUGGAUUCGCUAGUAAUCGCGCAUCAGCCACGGCGCGGUGAAUACGUUCCCGGGCCUUGUACACACCGCCCGUCAAGCCAUGAAAGCCGGGGGCGCCUAAAGUCCGUGACCGUAAGGAGCGGCCUAGGGCGAAACUGGUAAUUGGGGCU
rnacentral:rRNA from 1 species